rnacentral:rRNA from 1 species
AGAUUCCGCGAAUCAUCGAGUCUUUGAACGCAAGUUGCGCCCGAGGCUUGUCCGAGGGCAUUUCCGCUAGAGCGUCACC